rnacentral:rRNA from 1 species
GACGAACGCUGGCGGCGUGCUUAACACAUGCAAGUCGAACGGAAAGGCCCUGCUUUUGUGGGGUGCUCGAGUGGCGAACGGGUGAGUAACACGUGAGUAACCUGCCCUUGACUUUGGGAUAACUUCAGGAAACUGGGGCUAAUACCGGAUAGGAGCUCCUGCUGCAUGGUGGGGGUUGGAAAGUUUCGGCGGUUGGGGAUGGACUCGCGGCUUAUCAGCUUGUUGGUGGGGUAGUGGCUUACCAAGGCUUUGACGGGUAGCCGGCCUGAGAGGGUGACCGGCCACAUUGGGACUGAGAUACGGCCCAGACUCCUACGGGAGGCAGCAGUGGGGAAUAUUGCACAAUGGGCGGAAGCCUGAUGCAGCAACGCCGCGUGCGGGAUGACGGCCUUCGGGUUGUGAACCGCUUUCGCCUGUGACGAAGCGUGAGUGACGGUAAUGGGUAAAGAAGCACCGGCUAACUACGUG